UACAGAGGGUGCGAGCGUUAAUCGGAAUUACUGGGCGUAAAGGGCGCGUAGGCGGUCAAGCAAGUGUGAUGUGAAAGCCCUGGGCUUAACCUAGGAAGUGCAUCGCAAACAACUUGACUGGAGUAUAGGAGAGGGCGGCGGAAUUUCCGGUGUAGCGGUGAAAUGCGUAGAGAUCGGAAGGAACGUCAAUGGCGAAGGCAGCCGCCUGGCCUAAUACUGACGCUGAGGCGCGAAAGCGUGGGGAGCGAACAGG
rnacentral:rRNA from 1 species